AACGAACGCUGGCGGCAUACCUAACACAUGCAAGUCGAACGAGACCUUCGGGUCUAGUGGCGCACGGGUGCGUAACGCGUGGGAAUCUGCCCCUUGGUUCGGAAUAACAGCGAGAAAUUGCUGCUAAUACCGGAUAAUGACGUAAGUCCAAAGAUUUAUCGCCAAGGGAUGAGCCCGCGUAGGAUUAGCUAGUUGGUGUGGUAAAGGCGCACCAAGGCGACGAUCCUUAGCUGGUCUGAGAGGAUGAUCAGCCACACUGGGACUGAGACACGGCCCAGACUCCUACGGGAGGCAGCAGUGGGGAAUAUUGGACAAUGGGCGAAAGCCUGAUCCAGCAAUGCCGCGUGAGUGAUGAAGGCCUUAGGGUUGUAAAGCUCUUUACCCGGGAUGAUAAUGUCAGUACCGGGAGAAUAAGCUCCGGCUAACUCCGUGCCAGCAGCCGCGGUAAAGUGACUACUG
rnacentral:rRNA from 1 species